rnacentral:lncRNA from 1 species
ACCCGGAAACUCCUCACCACCACUUUAAGCCGCUGUGGUUGACUCAGCAGUCACAUCGGACAAGUCAGACCUCGGUCGUUUGCCUCGAGUAUUUGGGUGUGCUGUAAACUUGGGAGGCGAACUUUCAGAGAUACGUAAAAAUAAGAUGAGAAGUUGAGACAAGCCUCUCAAAGCGUGAUAUGAUUUUAUCUUAAAGCCUGGGUCAUAUUGAUAGCUUAUGUUUUAAUUUAAUUAGAGACUGAAAGCAAGGUUAGAAAUAAAAAAUCA